rnacentral:rRNA from 1 species
UGAACCGCAUGGUUCAAAAGUGAAAGACGGUCUUGCUGUCACUUAUAGAUGGAUCCGCGCUGCAUUAGCUAGUUGGUAAGGUAACGGCUUACCAAGGCAACGAUGCAUAGCCGACCUGAGAGGGUGAUCGGCCACACUGGAACUGAGACACGGUCCAGACUCCUACGGGAGGCAGCAGUAGGGAAUCUUCCGCAAUGGGCGAAAGCCUGACGGAGCAACGCCGCGUGAGUGAUGAAGGUCUUCGGAUCGUAAAACUCUGUUAUUAGGGAAGAACAUAUGUGUAAGUAACUGUGCACAUCUUGACGGUACCUAAUCAGAAAGCCACGGCUAACUACGUGCCAGCAGCCGCGGUAAUACGUAGGUGGCAAGCGUUAUCCGGAAUUAUUGGGCGUAAAGCGCGCGUAGGCGGUUUUUUAAGUCUGAUGUGAAAGCCCACGGCUCAACCGUGGAGGGUCAUUGGAAACUGGAAAACUUGAGUGCAGAAGAGGAAAGUGGAAUUCCAUGUGUAGCGGUGAAAUGCGCAGAGAUAUGGAGGAACACCAGUGGCGAAGGCGACUUUCUGGUCUGUAACUGACGCUGAUGUGCGAAAGCGUGGGGAUCAAACAGGAUUAGAUACCCUGGUAGUCCACGCCGUAAACGA